ensembl:lncRNA
GUCUCUGGUUGGUGAUCCCUCUCUUGUGGAGUUUUCCCUGUGAGUCUGCAUCUUCAGAGAUGGAUGCUCAUGUGAUCUCCCAUAAUGCCAAGAACAAGUUAAGUCUCCCUAAUCUGCUUGCUGGAGUGAACACAAGGACACAUUUGAUUGAGGCUGACAGGCAUGACCCUGGCUCUUCCCUUGGAGGCAGCCAUCUCUGAAUGACUGGGCCAUAUGGGCCAACACAGCCAAGGAAGCUAGGAGUGUACAGAAAUGCUCUUACUACUGGAAGAGAGAAACUUGCAUCCCCCUACAGCCAGAUCUCACUGAUAUCUUAGCUGUAUUUUCUACUGGGUAGUUCUUGCUGCUGUGUGCACUGGAAGUGAUGGUGCAGCCCUCUGCCUUCAUCUUCACCAGGUUCUUUCCUCACUAUAUUCACCCAGGAACAGUCUUUCUGUUCUUUAUUCCCAGUGUUAGUUUUCUAUACCUCUGUUCAGUUGGGUUUAUAGUGAGUGCCUGUGCAAUUAGGCAUAUAAAAAUAGCCUUCAUAAUGCUCUGAAAUGCUUCUAGUGAACAUUUUUCCUUUUGGAUUGUGAGCGUUUAUUGUGUAUGCAAUGUGUAAUAAGAAGUAUUGAUUCUGAUGAUCUGCAUGACUCACUGAUGAACAGAGAUGAUUGAAAAACUUCAAAGAAAAGCAUUAAUGACAUUGCUGCCUUCUUGGAAAUAUUAACAUUCUCCCAGCAAGUCUACUCAUCAAGUCUAGCUAUGCAUCAUACCACACUGUUGUAUGUGUAGAAGGAUGUUCUGUCAUUGCAAUAAGGUGGUUAUGUCUUCAUGCAUUUGUAUGUUUCAGGAGCUUGUGAUCCCUUGAUUUCUACCCUCCAUUGCCCUGAAACAGUUGAUCCUAAUGCAUGAUCAUGAAGAAAUCUGUUCUUUGAAAGAACUUUGAAUAUAUUAAUUCUACUUAUAGAAUUUCUUGCGAUAUAUAUUCAAUAUCAAAGUUAUGAUUAGCAUUUAGUAUCUUUUAAAGGAAACUUUUGUCC